rnacentral:rRNA from 1 species
AUAAGGAGUCGGACCUGCCCAGUGACGAUUUUAACGGCCGCGGUACUCUGACCGUGCAAAGGUAGCAUAAUCAUUUGCCUUAUAAUUGAAGGCUAGUAUGAAUGGUUUGACAAGAAUAAAGCUGUCUCUAAUGUAAUUAUAUAGAAUUUUACUUUUAGGUGAAGAGGCCUAAAUAAAAUUAAAAGACAAGAAGACCCUAUCGAGCUUUAAAACAAUUAAUAAAAUAAAAAUUAUAGUUUUAAAUAUAUAUUUAUUAAAAAUUUUGGUUGGGGCGACUAAGGAACAAGCAAAGCUUCUAGUAUAUCUAGUAACAGACGAGUGUUGAUCCGAAAAAUUUCGAUUAAAGGAAUUAGUUACCGUAGGGAUAACAGCAUUAUCUUUUUUGAGAGCUCAUAUCGAAAAAAAGGUUUGUGACCUCGAUGUUGGACCAGAAUAUCCUAAAGAUGCAGAAGUCUUUAAGGGUUGGUCUGUUCGACCAUUAAAAUUCU